rnacentral:rRNA from 1 species
GACGAACGCUGGCGGCGUGCUUAACACAUGCAAGUCGAACGGAAAGGCCCUGCUUGCAGGGUACUCGAGUGGCGAACGGGUGAGUAACACGUGGGUGAUCUGCCCUGCACUUCGGGAUAAGCCUGGGAAACUGGGUCUAAUACCGGAUAGGAGCCAUUUUUAGUGUGAUGGUUGGAAGGUUUUUUCGGUGUAGGAUGAGCUCGCGGCCUAUCAGCUUGUUGGUGGGGUAAUGGCCUACCAAGGCGGCGACGGGUAGCCGGCCUGAGAGGGUGGACGGCCACAUUGGGACUGGGAUACGGCCCAGACUCCUACGGGGGGCAGCAGUGGGGAAUAUUGCACAAUGGGCGCAAGCCUGAUGCAGCGACGCCGCGUGGGGGAUGACGGCCUUCGGGUUGUAAACUCCUUUCGCUAGGGACGAAGCUUUUUGUGACGGUACCUAGAUAAGAAGCACCGGCUAACUACGUG